GUAAUGACUAGGGAACGGAGGAGCCCAUGAUGUCACUAGGUGGUACGAGGUGAGCGAGUAUUAGGUUACUCUCUAGGCGGGAACGGGCAUGCUGGGAAGAAAGGUUUAUUCUUUGGUGGGAGCAACCAUCUUGGCAUGACAUCACACAGAGGAGGGGGCAAGACACGAUAGGAAGAGGGCAGCUACUAUACAUAAUAGCUGCUGAGGUGGUGGGAGACCUAUCAAUUAUUACUAUUAUUAUUGUUUGGUACCAGGGAUCAAACUCAGGACCUUGUGCUGGUAAGGCAGGCUCGGCGCCACUGAGCUAAAUCCACAGCCCUUAAGUAUUAUUUUAUUUGCUGUAUUUAUAAUUCUAUUUAUUUACUCUUAUCAGUGAGAACUAUGCUUUAAAAGAUCGCUCUGUUAUCAUUGUUUAGAAAGAACUGGAAUUGGGGAAGAAAAAGAAACAAUUUUACCUUCGUGGUGAUCUAGAUUUAGGAUGGAGAAAGGUGGAGCCGGGUGGCAGAGAGGGGGUUUUGAGCAUAAGAAGAGGAGAAAGCACGAUCAGACCAGGAGCCCGUGAGAAGACUUUCAAGUAGCUUUGGAAAAGACAGUAAGACAGUGUUCUGCUCCACAAUGCAGGAAUCUUACUUUUAUGGAACAUGGAUAGGCUAAUUAAAUUUUGGGUCUCUUCUAAAAUGUAACACACUUACAACAGUUUUAAUAAUAAAUCUCUGCUAUGUAUAGUUUUAUGAACGUUUAUUUUUCCUGAAGAUACUAAUAGUUAUAUAAUGACAUGAAUAGUAAUGGAAAUUUCUACAUGUCACUGGAUGUCCCCACCUCAACAUCCUAUGGCCCUUUAGGACAGAUAUUAUCAUCUUUGCUUUAUUUUAUUAAUGGGGCUCAGACAUAUUAGCUAAUUUCAGUUAAUAGAGAGUUAUCUCUGGAACUAAACUGCUUCUACAGAUAAGGUCAAGGGAGCUCAUAUUUGCAAUAUUAAUUCUCAUUGGUGCGUAGAGAAAUACAACAUGAAAUAUAAUGGGUAUCAAAGUACAAUCUUCUUAUUUUUGAAAGAUUCCUCAUUCUAUUUUGAGUUGAAAAUCAUUUUUCUUUAUCAGAAUAGAAAAAAAUCACAGGUACUGAUAGUGUCUUAAUGAUACUUAUAAUAUUGAUACUUGAGAUUUUUCUAAAGGAAAACUUAUUUCAGAAAGUAAUUUUGGGGAAAUAAGUGCACAGAAGACUAUUUGAAGAACUGAGUAAAAUUUGAAUUAUUUUCCUUUGGGUAUUUCCUAUAUUGGUGAAUAGUGCACCUUUGUUAUCUUAAUAUUCUCUUUUCUGUUAUUAAUUAAAACAUAGAUUUUGUGUUAAUUAAAAGCUUGAAAUCUCUUUCUUUCUUCCUCAGAAUUUGAGAAAAUAUCUGUGAAGACUUAAUUAGAUAAAAUAUUUUUAUAAGGAGUGAGUUUUAUAUUCAGUAAAAUGAGACUCAUUUCUAUUAAAUUCUUUUACUAUUGAGUCUGUUAAUAAAUAGGUAUGGAAGAAGAUAGUGAUGGAGAACAUUAUGCAGGCUCUCAAUGUGCAAUUCUGUAGCAGAGAACUCUAGAGGAUUUAUUAAGUAUGUCACCAAGAGUGGCAAUAUUUCAUCCACAGCUUUGAAAUGAUUUUAAUUUGAUAUUUGGUAAAUUGCUUACUUCUAUUCCUAUUUUUAUAUUGAAAAGUGAGAAGAAUAGCUGAAUAAUGGUAUACAGCAUAUCAAUUUGCUGUUUGCUGUAAUGUAAUCAGUUGGUAUAAGUUGGGAAAUGCCCUAUGUAAAUCAUAUCUGUAAUUCCACCUUUCCACCACUGCAUCCUUGCACAGAACUCCAUAUUUGGUCAUUUCAUUUGUAUAUUUCCAAGAGUGUAUAAACCAACUGACUUUUCCACUAUGAAUAGCAGCAAGUGCUUUUCUAUGCCUUCAAAGAAAUCACAACUAUUAUAUAGGUUAGGAAACUGACGUGAAGCAGGUGGCAUUAAUGUUCACAGUUUGGUGGUCACAUUUCUCUUUUAUUCUUCUUUCCUUCCUUACAUAAUAUUUUGUUUGUGUUUUAUUUAUUUUAUUAACCAGAAUACCUUUCACUGCACCCUUAGUGUAAUAUUUUUUUGCGGUUCACCUAGGACUUUGGUGAGUUACUUUGCAAAUAAAAACCUUGAAAUGAAGAGAAUUGAGUUCAUGUUCUAGAAUUUUAAAACACAACUCUUUUAAACAUUUUGUUCAACCUUGGGAGGGGCUGGGAAAUGAUUCUGUCGGACUUAAUGUUAUCUUUAUGUAACUUUAAGGUUGGCUAGGACAGUUGUUUUCUAGAUAUAUAGAUAACACAAUGAUGACUCAUACACAAUUGGGGACCGUUAGUAUAUAUUAAAGAUCAUUUAGAAUAAAAUUAGAAAUACUAUUAAAGAAUUAUGAUGAAAAUAAUUUCAAUGAAAAGAGAUCAAGAGAGGACAGUGAGUUGUCUUAGGAGAGUUGGUCGUUAAACCAGUAUAAAAUAUGAAGACAUUUUCAGUUAUUAAAUAUAUUAUUUGAAGCACAAGUUGAAAUAAGACAAAUUCAGAAUGUUUUUGUCUUUUUAUAUUAAUUUAAUAAUAAAUAAAAUAAUCCACAUUUUAAUAAAUUCAUAAGAAAAUUAUUACCUUAGCUGAGUGGCAGACAUUGGGUGAUAUGGAACAUUCUUUACUCCCCCCUUCUAAAGGAUGUGGUUGUUUAUGGACAUCAAUAUUUAGAAUUUGAAGGUCAAGGAAAAUAAUUAGAGAUGCCUCUAAGACUUAUUAUCAUAUUAUGCAUGGAGUGGUUAGACAAUUGUAUCUAAAAUAUAGAUUUCCUAAAAUACUUUCAGAAAUAUGCACAAUUUGAAAUAUUGAGGAUAAUUUUCUCAUUUCCCUUUUCUUUACAACAUGAUCUUCUAUUAUAAUCCAUAAAGGAAAUAGUAGACAGAGUGAUCUACUUUUUGCAUCUGAAUAACAUUCACACUGAAUUACUUGUACUUGGUGUGAACCAUAUAAAAUUAUUUUUACCAUUAUUCCUUCAUAUAUAAACUUUUGAUAUUCUCUUGUUUCAGUUGUGAUCAAAUGAUAAAAGCAUUCAUUUAAGAAACCAAUCAAAUAAUAGUAUUUUAAUUGAGGCUCCUAGGGUAGUCACGAUUUGAUUUAUACAAAUUUUAAUUGUUUUCAAAGUCAUUAUUUUAUAGUUAGGUUAUUGAUAUAUUGUGAUAUUAUGAACCUAAGAAAGCUACCAUAAUGCCUUAAAAAUAAAGUUGAAUUAUGAGUGAGAAGACUAAGGGGAAAUUACAUAUAUGAACUGUACCAUUAUCCAGAUUCAUAAAAGUUCCUUUUGUGCCUCUUUCCCCAUAGCAUGCCUUAGGUCACAUGUUAUAUAUCUAAAUGGAUAUUUGUCCUUCUCUGUAUCUAUAUUUUGGAUCUGGUCUUCUGGACUCAGGUAAACAUCAGCAGCGUUGUUUCAUUCCUUACCAUUCAACAUUUGGAAGCAGAAAGCUGUGAAACUUUGAUGAUUAACCACUCACUACAGUUGAAGAUAGAUACUAAGAGGCAUACUGGUAGAUUUUAAUAAAGAUGUUUGCUUUCCCUACAUUCUUAAGAGAUCUAAAACUUGAGAUUGGAUUUAUUUUAACUUAUGAUUAAACACUAGCUUUAUGCCACUUCACUCCCGUCAAUAGAGCGCUUCUUUAUUUUUAAAACCAAUGAAUAGAUGGGAAAAUGUAUUUUUUAUAUUUCUUUUAUGUAGCCACAAAGGUGAAAAAGCUUGGCUUUACCUCUGUUUUGAUGUUCCAGGCUGAGAAAAUGUAAUUGUAGCUGUGAAAUGAAGUGGGUGUAAAAUGAGUUUGAUGGUUCAGUCAACUUCAAUAGACAGAUGUUGAUUUUGUCCUUUAAUGGGAAAAGGUUAUUAUGCAAAAAUCAUUGCAAAAUUAAAUACACAAUAUAGUUGCAGGUGGGGAGGCAUCAUUAAAAGAAGUAUAAAUGGAGAAUUUUUAAAUAACACUUAAGAUAAUAUGCUUAUAAAUAUUUUGUUUUUAUUUUUCAACAGCUCCCUCCCAUCACCCACCAAGUAUAGAUUAUUUGGUCCAUAAAUUGUAAGAAGCAUAAUAAUAAUAUAAAAAAAUGCAAAGAAGUAGGAAUUAAAGGAAAAGUUCAAAUUUAGCUCCUGGUUUUAUGCAAAUCCAAUUUUUAAACUCUAGAAUAUACAUAUCUGCUGCUACCAAAGAUGAAUCUUUCAUGUAAAAUAAGAAGUACAGGAUUAAAUUUUUGUUGCAUAAAAGAGAGGUGCUUAUUAAAAUAGAAAAAAAGGGAAACAUUAAAAGGAGUGAUUGUGAUUCCUUAGUAUUAUUUGUGACCUGUUUUGUGUGGUCAACAGGAAUACUGAAGGGAGGAUGACCAUGGGGAUAGUGGAAAAGUAUUAUUGAGCUUGAAUCUUUAUUGUAAGAUGGUUUGUCCAUUAGAAGCUUAUGUUAUCGUAUUUACCUUCCCCCUCAAAUCAUGAGUGGAAAGGACCAUUUAGAGUACAAUAUCUGCUCAAUGAUUUCCUGCAUGAAUAUUCUUUCUGGCUCAAUUCAGGCUGCAUCCUAGGAAACUGGUGCCAAGCAGCAAUGAAUCGAGGUAGUCACUGGAGUCUCUCAGUCUGAAACUUCAAGCAGCCAGGUGACUAAUUUGAGUGAGGAAAUGGAGUAAAGAGUACAGAACUCAGUCUGGGGGCAAGCAACAUGGCAAAAAGCAAGCUGCUGGGAAAUGGAGCCAGGCUCAGCUGCUGGGUGUUCUCUCAGUCCUGUGGUUUGUGGCAAGGGAUGAGUGCAAAGCUACCAUCUACUCGUGUACAAUGGCACCAGGCUUGUCAUGGGAUCCAGUCGCUGAAAAUGGGGUUUUGAAGGCAGAAAUAGUUACAAGAACAAUUUAGUAUGAUCAGAAAAGGAUUUAGCAAUGGCUUUGACUUAACUGAAUCUCUUCAGCUUUGAACUAGAAGUUUUGAAAGUUUCCUGAAGAAAUGCCUAGGUUGAAUUUGGGGCAGAGUCCAAAGCUGCAAGCCCAGGCUCUGGUUUACAGGAGAAAAACCUUGCCGUCGGGGAGGCGUGUAUAGUAAUUUUAUAUUAUUCACUAUUCAGCUGUCUAUUUCUUGGUGUUUUUUUCUUUUUUUGGUUGUGUUGUCUUUUCUUUCCUUUCUACUUUUUUUCUUCCUUUAUUUCUUUCCCUUUUUCCUUUCUCUUCUUUUACCCUUCUCUUUCUUUCCAUCCCCCCCCAUUUUUUCUUCUCCCCUUCCAUGUUUGGCUCUUAAUAAUAUUUGAAAAUCCAGUAUUCUCAUAUGUUCCUGCAAAAAAAAAAAAAAAAAAAAAAAGAAAAAAGAAAACUUUUGAGUUCACCUAUCUGCAUAAUACUUUAUGUGUUAUCUUUUAAGGACAGUGGUCCUUAAUAUAACAAUGUACAGUGAACAUAUGUAUAAAUUUCAUUAUUUUGCAUUUUUACUUUUUUAUUUCAUAUAAAUAAUCUAAACUCAUCACUUGUUAGUAUGUUUAUACAUAUGCUUUAUAUCUAUCUGUUUAUCUAUUAACAAUAUAUUAAGUCAUUUGAAACUGACUUAUAGAUAUCACAACACUCCACCAAAAAUAAUACUUCAGUGUAUGCCUUACAACUAUAAUAUAUCAUUAACUCAAAUGAAAUAGCCUAACACAUGGUCCAUACGUAAAUUUGUACAUCUUUCCUCAAUAAAUUUUUUAGAACUUCAAUGCUUUAAUUUUAUCAGGCAACUAAUCACAAUGUAUGAAUAGUCUAUUUAAUGUCUUAGCGUAGUCCCUUCAAAUUCUAAUUUCAAAUUUUUAAUUUUUCAUGACUCUGUCAUCCUUCAUGGCUCACUUCAAGUAUGAUUUAAAAUAGCCCAUCUUUUGUAUUUAUUUGAUUAUUUUCUCAUAGUUGGGCCAGGCAGGUUAAACAUUUUUUACAAGAGGAUUACUUAUAUGGCAUUGUUUACUUGUAUCAGGAGGCAAUAAUAUUAAUAUUUUCCAUCACUCAUACUAUGUAAGUGCUGAUUAAAUAACACUGUGUUUAAAUGAAAAAAUAAUGACAUUAAAGAUUCAUUAUCAUUAGGAGCCUGAAAAUACUCCCCCUUGCUUCAAACACAUUUAUCUAAUUAUUCUUGACGCCUUCUGAAAUAGUUCUGAAAGUCUUAUUUUAUGAGUGUUUUUUAGGAGGUGCGAUCAAAAAUGUGUUGAGUGUCACUAGUAAGUAUUAUCCAGUGGAAAGAAAGACUCAUAAAAUCAUUAUGGUAUGUCUUCAUCAACCUUACUCACAGGAUCUGGCACCCUGUGAUUUCUGAUUCUUCCCCGUAAUCAAAAUGAUCACUAAAGGUAAUCAUUUUGAAUUGAUUCAGGACAUUGAGGCAGCCAAGACAAAACAGCUAGACAGGAAAGAGGACUUCCUGAACUGCUUAAGAAAGUGGCAAGAGUGUUUAGGGGGAUUAAUGGCACUGUAUCUUUUAUUGUAAUAGAUUUUUAAAUUAAAUAUUUACCCAUUUAUCAUAUUUUUCAAUCAUAUAUUUGAGCACUUUGUGAAGACAAUAGCCGUUAUACUUUACCUUUAAAAAAUAUGUUCUCUUUGUAAAUAGCAGGUAAACCACACUGUGAUAUUUUGAGAUAUUUGUGAUAGCUCUUUGAUAAUCCUUGAAUGGAAAAAUCAUACUAGUGGGAGAAAAAUUUUAAUUUUCUAAUCAUGUUGUACUUACAAUAUUUUUAAGAGAUUCAGUUUUGCUGUACUAAAUUAGAAUCAUUAUUCUUUAUUUCUUUUAGUGUGUGUGUGUGUGUGUGUGUGUGUGUGUGUGUGUGUGUGUGGUAUGGGGAUGGAACCAGGCCUCAUGUAUACUAGGGAAGUGCUGUACCACUGAACUGUACUCCAGCUGUUCUCUUUUGUGUACUCUAAUUUUUAAAAUUGUCCACUAAAAACUUUUUCAUUCAGCCCCUGUGGGUCUUUUUGAUGCCAUUCCUCUUUAUGUACUUCUUGCCUCCUAAUAAGUACAACAAAAUAUUCUAAGCUUGCUUUGUACUUUCCUACAUCAGACCCAAACUAAGACAUUUCUGUUGAAGCUGUCCUUUCUUUUUAAUGGAAUAUAUUAUUAUAAUACAAUAUAUUAUCAUAUAGUACUAUGGAAUUGAGAUGUUGAUGCUAAAUUUGAUCCUUACCAUGGGGGUCACAUAGAUCUAGCUUAGAAGCGAGUAAUCUAGAUCUUAUGAUCCAAUUCUAAUCUGCUUCCUGGUUUUUAUAUAAUAUUUUAUUAGAACAAUUAUCCUCAGUUUUUUACUUGCUAUCUAUUGCUGUUUACAAAAUACUAUGGUAUGUUGUUUAGUUGAAAUAGAGAUCAUAUGGUCUACAAUGUCUAAAAUACAUACAAUCUAAUCCUUUACAUAAACUUUUUAAAAAUUUACCAAAACUAGAUGUUUGCAGUGCAGUGUUAGUAAGAAAUGUUAGAAAAUGUUAGCAAUUUACCUUUCUUUAGCCAAGUAGAUUAACCGAUUUUUCCUCCCAUCUGAAAUCACCAAAUAACACAACUAAACUAAUUAUAUAGAGUAUAUUAAAACACAUUUUCAAGACAAUGGAUAUAAGACAAUGAUGUAAGAUAAAGGAGAGCAAUCCUUGAGAAGCAGAAAACAAUGUACCCUACCACUGUCACAAUAUCUUGUCUUGAGAAAGUUUCCAGACCACAGCAUAGGGAAAGAGACUCAGGUGGAAUAGAGCUGACUUUCCGAACUAGGAGGUGGAUGUAGGACACCAGUACGGCUAGGUGUUCAGAGGAAAAGUACCUGCUGAGAUUAAAAAAAAAAAAAAAGCCCAGAGAUCUUCAGAAGGCACCCCCUGAGUAUCCAGCACAAGGAUUAUAACAUGCAUCUAAAAAUCCCUGUCAGAGAAGAAAGCAAUAAUUGCUCAAAAUUAUUAAAAUAAGCAAUUUUUAAAGUAGAAUCACUGGGGCUGGGGAUUUAGCUCAGUGGCACCCGCACCUGCCUCGCAUAGCGCAAGGUCCUGAGUUCAAUCCCUGGUACACACACACAAAACGUAAGACCACUGUGUGUUCCUAAUGAGCUAAAGAGUAAACUCAAAGAUCCUGCAACAUGGGAAGGAAUACUUUGGACUUACCUAGGGAGUGAGAAAUAAUUAGCCCUAGUUAGAGAGCUGUUUUGGGUCUGACACUUCUUAAAGCAAGAGCCCCAAACCAAAUUGUUUCCUUGUAAUUUAAUACACCUCCAGAAAAAAAAAAAUCAAAAAAGUUUUUUAGGAAUGCAUAUGUAUCCAUUAUCAGUAAAAUUCAAAAUGUUUGACAUUCAAUCAAAACUUUUGAAUGAUAAAUUGAGUCAUUUGUAGGAAAAUGGAUGCACCUUGAGGCCAUAAUAUUAAGUGAAAUAAAUCAGGCACAAAAGAUGAAAUGCCACAUGAUUUCUUUUAUAUGAGAAACCCAGAAUAAACAAAUUACAGUCCAAAUAAAACGUUAUGGGAAACAGGGAGAUAUUUCUCUUUUAAAAGGGAAGGGGAUAAGAAAAUUGAGGGAGAGGAGAGGAAGGGAGGAGAAUAGGAUGAAAUAAUUGAAUUAAGAUAUAUUAUGUUCAUGUUCCAAUUCACCAUAAUCAAUGGAAUUAUUAUGUCCUGCAGACAUGUAUUAAAGAAUUUUUAAAAAUAUGAAGGAAUAAUAGAUGAAGUAACGCAUGCAUAGCUUUUAUUGAAAGUAAAGGUAAGUCUAGUGACACUGAACUAAAGAUGAGAAAAGUAUUAGGAUUAGUACACAAAUGUUUACAUAAACACAGUUACAUAACUUUACUGACGAUGUUUUUUAAAAAGACAUGUAAGAUCCAAAAAACCUGUACUAGCUUUUAAACAAAAAAACUACAUGAUGUAAGAUGAAAAAUUCAUUAAAUGUGGUUGUGAAAAAUUAACAUUGGAGAAGAUAAGGUAUGAACUUGAAGACAUAAUAAUUGAUAUUAUUCAAAUGAAAACAAAGAAAGGAGAGAAUUUAGAAAAAUGAACAUAACAAUGAUGAUCUGUGGGAUAAGUUUAAGAGGCCUGAUAUGCACAUAACUGGGUUGUCCAAAGCACAAAAAAAAAAAAAAAGGGUUACAGAAAAAAACAUUUGAAGAGACAAUUGUUGAAAAUUUUCUAAAUGUGAUUAAAAUGAUAAAGCUUUGGAUCUAUGAAGUUCAAUGAGUCCCAAUCACAAGAAAUAUUAAGAAAAUGACACCAAGCACAUAGUAUUAAAAUUGCUCAAAACUGUAUUAGUGAGGAAAUAUGAGAAGCAUUGGAGAAAAAAAGAUAUUUGACAUACAUAAAAGGUAAUGAUGACAGCCCCAUUUUCAUCAGAAAGGAUGUGAAUAGACAAUGAACAAAUUACUUUUUUUUAAAAAAAGUACAUUUUAGGGCCAGAGAUUUAGCUCAGUUGGUCCAGUGCCUGCCUCACAAGCACAAGGUGCCGAGUUUGAUCCCCGGUACCAAAAAAAACACCAAAAACAAAACCAAAAACUUCCAGGAGAAUGAAAAGAAAGUUGUUGGGCUGGGGAUUUAGCUCAGUGAUUCUGCCACCUGCCUGGCAAGUGCAGGGGUCCUGAGUCCAAUGCCCGGUACCAAAAAACAAAAAAAAGUACUUUUUAAAAGAAAGUACUAUCAAUUUGAAAUUCUCUAUACUCAACAAAAUAUAUUUUUAAAACUACAGCAAAAAUUAAGACCUUUUGAAAGCCAAAAGUAUUAACCGAUGGUGGAAAGACUAAAAAAUGAUAACAGGACUCCUUGAGGCAGUAGAAAUAUAGCACCAGUUAGAAACUCGGGUCUACACAAUGGGGUAAAGAGCACUGGAGCAAGUAACCUCAUAGGUAAGAGUAUAAUAUUUCAGGCCGGGGAUUUAGCUCAGUGGUUCCGCCACCUGCUGCACAAGAGCAGAGAACAGAGUUCGAUCCCCGGUACCAAAAAAAAAAAGAGUAUAAUAUUGCCUUUCUUACUAUUUAAAUCUCUUGAAAAGAAAAUUGGUUAUUUAAACAAGACAGUUAAAAGUUUUUAUAAUAUAUGAAUAAAGAAAACGCAUGACAACAAUAACAAACAUCCAGGAGUGGUGAGAUGAAGUAUAUAUUACAGAGGAGUUGUAUAAUGUUCCUAGUAGGUAGCCUAUAAUAACUGAAGGAUAUAUAUUAUUCACCAUAAAUCAAUGAAUAAAAUAUACUAAGCCAAAAGAUAUAUCAUGGAGUUAUAAAAUAUUCAAUUAUUUCAAAAGAAAACAGUCAGAAAAAGGGAACACAGACCAGAUGGAACAAAUUAAAAACAUGUAAGAAGAUAUAGUAAAGCUAACCAUAUCAAUAAUCACAUUAAUGGUGUAAAUCAUCCCAUUUAAAAGGCAAGUAUCUUUAGAGUAAAUAAAAAUGCAAAAUUGAAACAUUUUUUGACUAAAAUAAAAAUUAUUUAAUGCAAAAGCACAUAGUAAAGGCAGAAGGAUGGUAAAUAUAUGCCAUGCUAACACCAGUCAAAAGAACGGUGGAAUGGCUAUAUAAAUAUCAGUUACAUCAAUUCUGUUAAUUUUAGAUAAAGCAUAUAACACAUUAUAUGCAGUGAUUCUUUUCAAUGAUUUUCUAAUGAUAAAAGGGUUAAUUUAUCAAGAAGACAACAUAAGGCUAAAUGCCUUUGCCUCUAGUAACUGCUUCAAAAUCCAUAAAUUAAAAUCCGAUCAAACCCCAUUGAGAAACAGGCAAAUUCAAAACGUUAGUCAAAAAUUGCAAUUCGCAUCUUUCUGUAAUUGAUACAGCCAGUGUACAGAAAGUCAACAAGGAUAUAAAAAUUUUGAACCAUGAAAAAACACCUUGACAAAACUAACACAUAUGCUGAGGGCCCACUCAACCAGAGCUGAAUACACAUUUGUUUCAAGCUCAGAAAGAUUUGCUAAUACAGAUGAUGCUAAGAAUUUUUUAAAAAGUCUUGAUUAAUUUAACAGGAUUCAAGUCAUGGAAAUUAUGUUUUCUAAUCUCAAUGGAAUUAAAUUAGUAAUCAAUAAGACAAAAUCUGAAGAAAAUUCCCAAAUAUAUAAAAUUAAAUGAUACCUGGGUCAAAACAAAUCAGAGUGAAUAUCCAAGAGUAUUUUUAAGCUGAAUGAAAAUGAAAAUACAAUAUCAGAAUUUAUGUGCUUCCUCUAAAGCCAAACAUAGGAUAAAAUGUAUACCAGUAAAACCCAGUAUUAGAAAGAAAGGAAGUUCUCAAAUUAUAAAAUACCUGAAAACUUUACCCAAAUUUAACAUCUAAUUAGGAAAUAUUUAUGGAUGGAUCUGACAAAAGUUGUUAAAGGCUUAUAUUCUGAAAAUUGAAAGUAUUGUAAAGAGAAAUCAUAGAAAUCAAAAUAAAUUAUCAUUUAUCAGAAGGAACACCAUUGUUAAGAUGUUACUUUUUCCUCUAGUAAUUCAGGGACUCAUGCCAGGCCAAUAAAAAAUAUAAACAUAUUUGUUUUAAAAAACUGACAAGCUGAAUGUUAAGUUUAUCUGAAAAUACAAGGACUACUAGUUUCAAAAACUUUUUAAAAAAGAGGCUAAACUAAAUACUAAAUAAGAAAACUAAUGUCUGAUUUCAAGAAAAAAACUAAUAAAUUAGAUUUUUCCAAAAUUUUCAAAAUUUUGUUCACAAGAGGGCUUUCUUUAAAAAAUGAUCAAAUAGGGCCAGAGAUUUAGCUCAGAGUUCCGCUGCCUGCCUCGAAAGUGGAACGGAGUUCGAUCCCCGGUACGAAAAUAAAAAGAUCAAAUAUGCCACAAAUUGAGGAAAAUAUCUGAAAAUUACAUAUCUGUAAAUUAUUUAUAUAACAAAAUCUCAAAACACAAUAAUUAGAAAUCAUAAUACAAAAUGAAAACUGGUUACAUAUCCGUUACAAACACUUCACCAAACAAGAAAAGGGAUGAAAAAUAAGAGCAUAUGACGAUGUUAAAUAUUGAUUACUCAUAGAGAAAAUGCAAAUUAAAACAAAAAUGGGGUACCACUUCACAUGUAUUACAAUACACAAGUUAUUAUGACUGACCCUACCCAGUCAGUAGAAGACAGAAAACUGUAAGUCCUUUACACUGAUGGGAAUUUAAAAGGGUACAAUGAUUUUGGAAAACAGUUGGAUUCUUAAAAUAGUAAUGGAAUCCCAAUAUGAUCCAAACAUACUAGUUAUUAAUAUUUAAUCAAGAGUCUAUGUGAAUGCUCAUAGAAACCUUGUUUAUAUUAGCCACAAAUCUGAAACACCUAAAAUAUCUGUCAAUAAAUGAAUAGAUGAACCAGUUGUGGAAUAAACAUAAACUGGAAUAUCAUUCGAUAAUUAAAAAGGAAGAACUAUUGAUACAAGCAACAUGGGUGACUCUCAAAACAAUUGCGUUGAAUGAAAGAAGGCAGAGGCAGACCUUCUGUCAAAAGGAAUAUAUACCAGGUAACUCCAUUUUUGUAAAACUUUACAAAAUACAAACUAAUCUAUACUUAAGAAAGAGCAUGAAUGUGUUUGAUGGAAGGGGGCACUAAAGAGGAGAGACAAGGAGUGAUUACAAGUAUGAGAAAACUAAUAGUGACAGGCAUAAAAAAUAGUACCAAAAAUCAGAAAAUGGGAUUAUAUCAAAUUUGAAAAACUGCACAGCAAAGAAAACAAACAAUAAAGAGACUAUAACUUUUUCUUCAUCCAGGAAAGCUAUAAAUUUGAUCUUUAGGUAACAAUAUAUUUAUUUAUAUUUGGAUUGAGCUUUAUGAUUUGCCUCUUUCCAUCCUCUAAUUUAAUUUCGAAUAUAGAACAUUGAUAUGGACCCUCAAAUAAACUACAUAAAAAUAUAUACUCAAAUCCUUCUGCAUAAUAAUUUUCUUCACUCUCCUUUUCUUUUUAGAACAUGAAGGUUUUUUGUUGUAGUUGAACUUAGUAAAGUUUUAUUGUCUCUGGAUAUUUAAUUACAGUUUAGAAAGCUUUCCAUACAUCAAGCUUAUAAAGAAUUCCAUCAAUUUAUAUUUCCUUGUAGUAUUUCUAUGGUUUACAUUUUUAAAAAUUCACUUGAAUUCCUAUUUUAUUUGGAAGACAUUAUGACACAUAAUGUUAGGUAAAGAACUAAUUUGAUUCUUCUCCACAGUAAUUUGAGAUAUACUUUUACAGGACACUAAGUUUCUAUACAUGUUAAAGAGAACUUCUGAUCAUUUGUUGUUCCACUGGAGAUCAUUCGUUGUUCCCUUAGAGAGGGUAUAGGGUGUUUUUAGGGGGUGUCUGGCAAGACUGCUAUGCUUUUCUACAGAUUUACUCUUCCUUUAUAUAGAUUUUCUAAGUGUUCUCCCUGCUUUAUCUUCAUAUGAACAUUCAGCAUAUGAAGCCCCAUGGACAGGAACCAAAGCUUCUGUUCAAUAAGCCUGGCUGAGUCAACAGUCUCUAACAACUGGUCCUGUGGAUGAGUUUUCUGACAAUUUUAUCCUCUGACACUAAUGAAGUUGUCCAGCUGAUAUUAGAUGGAGCAGAAAUGAGUCAUCCCUACUCAAAUUGCAAAUUUAUCAAAAAGACUAAUAAACAAUUAUUAAAGGCUACUGUUGUUUUAUGCCAAAGAAUUUAACUUAGUGAGAAUUAAAACUGGAUAACGUUUAAACUUUCCACCUUGUACAAAGAUACCUUUGUGAAUUCUUUAUACUUAAUUUAUUUAAUUAAUGUAAUAGGAUUACAGUAAAAUCUAUUUAAAUAAAAUAUUUUACAUUAAACACAUCAACAUUACUAGUAGCAUCUUAUAAAAUAUUGAUCCUGAAUAGUAUUGUAGCACACUUAUCUUCAUAGAAUAAAUGAUUUCUGACAGUUAAAACCAAUUUGCUUAUUAUGUUAGUCAUAUUUACUUCAAAUAAAUAUUUAGGCAGUUAAAAAUUUACACAUCCAAGGAAGGAGGGAGACAAGAGGGAAGAAGAUUUUAAAGUGUCAAACUAUAUUAUGUACAUGUACUCACUCCCCAAGCUGACUGCAAACUGCAUGUACUGCAAACACAUGCUAAUAAAAAGAGUAAUUCUUUGAAAUAUACUGUUAUUUCAAAAUAACUCAUUUAAUAGAGUAAACAAGUAGACAAAUCAAAGAAAGGCUUUUCUCUAAGUGAUUUCUUCUAAUAAAUUGCCAAUAAAAACCUAUACAUUCAUGCCUUAGUGUAACAAAAUAGAAAGAGAAAGUUAUAAAAUGAAAUAGGGAUUAAGUUGUAUCAGUAUUUUCUGGUUUCUAAGUUUUACUCUUUUAAUAUUUUAAUAUUUUCCAAGUUUGAUGCCUCUUAAUAUUGACAUACACCUUUGAUGAAGUUUUUCUCUUUCCCCCAAAAUUAUUAUCAAAUCAAUGAAAGAUCUCAGGAUUGAGGACCAAUGGAUAUAUUCCGAAGCAUUUUUCCUUACUGAAAUAAAGUAAGCAUGUAUAGAUGUCCAAUAGCUUCAAGAAGACUUUAAACAUUGUGUUGGAAAUGGCUAGUAUACAUAGAAAGGUAGAUAAAUUUGCAUCAGAUGUGAGAAAUUAGUGGAGAACAGAGUUCAUUUUUCUCUACUAAAGCAGUUAGAUAGAUAGAUAGAUAGAUAGAUAGAUAAUAGACUGAUGAUAAAUACAGACAUAUAAGUUCAACUCAAUAUGUUGUGUAGUGGUUACAGAUGUUGAAACCACACUUUGUGUGUUGAGAUUCAAGCUCUUCUGUGGUACCUGUGUGACCUUUAGAAAUUUUGACUACACUAGAGUUUGCUAUGAAUAUUAAACAUCUUAGUCCUCAUGAAGCAGGCCAGGAAAGUAAUUGCAUACAAUAUGCGUCAUGCAAAAAUAUUGUCAAAUUAAAUAAAGUUAAAAGACAACAAGGAUCUCAAAAGGGAAUAAAUAGCUAAAUAAAUACUGUAGGAGGAAAAAAGGAAAAGAAAAAUAAGACCAAUAGCAUUAUAGCAGGACUUAUUUAAGCAGGUGCUGUUUCUUUACAGCAGUUCUUGUUCACUGACACUUUUUGUCUGUGUAGCAAGUACUGAAAAGGUGCUUCUGAAAACUUUUCAAGACUUUGAAAGUUCUAAAAUCUAAAUUAAAAUGAAUCUUUCUGUAUUGCAGCAAAUCAUUCUGUUACGUACACAUUUUAGUACUGAUGACUAUUUUGAGAAAGUGUAAGCAAAACUGAUUAUAACAAAUGAAUUUUGCAUUCUUGAGCUUUGUUUUUCUCUCAGUAUGUUAUCAUUUUGAGCUCCAUUUUUGGAAGUAUGUGUGACAGGUGUAGUUACCAACUGUGCCUGAAAGAAUUAUGCUUUGAAAAAAAGUAUCACUGCAAACCUCUAGCUCCCUGUUCUUUCUUCAUGUUGAAAUUUUUCUUGCAUUAAUUUGUUUAUUUUAUAUUUCUCAUGAGUAUUAAUUUAAAAGUUAUACUCUGGCUACUUUACAAAUGAUUUUAAAAUAGCCUUUUAAAAUUCAUGUAUAAUAACACAAAAUAAAAAUAGCUGAAAGUCCCAUGGAUAUGAGUGUUUAGAGAGUGAGGUUCUCAGUCAAAAAGUACAUAUGCCUAGGAACCUGGUAGGAUUAAAUUUUGUCUUGAACUUCUUAAUGUCCAAGACAAACAUGAGCACUGAUUACAAGAUGUAAUCUGAGUUAUUGAGAGCUAAUGACAAUUUUCUUUCCUUUUCUUAAAUUCUAAAAAGUAUUUUUUGGUGUUUCCUACCUAAUGAGGAAGAAUAUCCUUUAUUGAGCUUUUUCAAAAGAUAUAAAGAUAUUUGUUACAUACCAACCCAGUUUUGAUCAAAGUCAAGGUGGACUUGCUGAUAUCAUUUAGUGAAACUGCGAGUUCACUUUGGUUUUGGCUUACUGUUUCUGUUUUUGGUGAGACUCGGUUAAUUUGGUCUAGUUAUUUUGCCUUCUGUUAGAGAUAAGUUAGAUUUUUUGAUGAAAUAUAUUUCAAAAUGAGCCCCUGCAAUCUGCCUUAGAAUCACCUGAAUAAUUUGUCAAAAUAUGUGGUCCACAACUUUACCUCAGUCUUAUACAUCUAGAAUCUUUCAGACAGGUUUAUUUUAGUCAAGCUCCUAAAAGGAUUAUUAUGAAUACACAAGUUGGAAAAUAACUUACUUAGAAAAGUAGAACUGUUUGAAAGUUUCAAAGGGCAACUUAAUGUGCAAUUUAAUGAGUAAUGUGUAUUUUGAAGACUUUGAAUACCACUAUACAAGAUCUUACAAUAGCUAAGUCAAUAUUGUCAACUCAGUUUCUUAUCUAAAAAUAGAAGAAAUUAUUUGUUUUACUCACCAGAGAGAAUUGUUGUGAGGAUUAUACUAUACAAUAAAUACAAACAUGCUUUGAAAACCAUGAAAUAAAAAUAUGAGUCAGUUCUCAUGAAAACAUGUAGUUUUAUAAUCUAAUUAGGAUGUUGCAUAUCAUAGAAGUUUUGGGAUCUCAUUGUGUGGUUUACUCCUAAAUUCUUCUUUCUGAUACCUAAGGUAAGAGGCUAGGUCUGAAGGAAUUUGAAUACCCUUAUGCAUCUUAGGUAGAUCUUCAAGCACUGUCACUACCUUUUGAGUUUUUUUAUUCACCCUUCCAGCUACUUGGGCUGCCCAUUUUUAGGGCAUUUAGAGUUCCACAGUUCAAAUAGGGUUGGUUUGUGUCCUUUUGUUCCCUGUAUAGGAAUCCAUGGAAUCCAUUUUCUUACCUAAGGACCUUACCUCUUGUCUUUCUAUGGUCUAGCUUGCCAAAUAGCGCUAUUGUCUUCUUUGAAUUCUUUUGUUAUGUGAGAUUUUUGCCUCUUUUAAAAUUUCUUUGCUAUCAUUAUAAGAGAUAUUAGGCAGUAGGAAGAUAUGCUGAUAAAAAUUUAUGUUUUGAAGUUAUUCUUCUAAAAUGUAAAUGCUUGUUUAAAAAUAAUUACCUUAAAAGUUGAUUCACUCUAUUGUUAGAAUGUUUUAAAAUACAGUAAGCACAUUUGACCUUCAGCUUCAAAUACCAGAAUCAUCCAGUGCACUUCUAAGGCCUUCUCUUUUCCUAAUCGGCAACAAUGUACAAAACAACAAGUGCUGUUGAGAGAGGGAGCCAGGAGUAAUUAUUAAUUUAAAAAUACACCGGAUGGUGAUUUUGUCAGUAAUGUUUUUCUCCAAUGUUUCUUGAAACUUCAUUUAUUUUCAUGGAGAAAUUGAUAUGUCUGAUAGCAGAUAUUUGCCUGAGUGUACUAUGAGACUGAUUAACACAAGUGUAUAAACACAUAAAGAUUUUUAUCAAAAUUCAGUAAGGGGACUUGGGAAAUGUUAGGAUUUAGCAACUCUAACAGUUAAAUGUGGGUAAUCAAGGAAAGAAUAAUGACAUACUUGUAUAUUUAAGGACAUUACAAAAGAUAUGGUGACAGCAUGUUUUGAGAGUAGAUGUUGUGGCUGUACAUAUCUAUACUAUAAGUCUAAUAUACCACGUAAUACAACUGUCAGCCAUCAGGAAAUAUUUGCAGACAUAAGUCCUGUCUCUCAUUUUCCAUGGGCUUAUUGCUACCAGAUGUGUGAUUAGGAAGUUUUAGCAACUUAAUUUAUUCUUUCACUGACUCAUUAUUGGGUAUAACUCCAUUAAUUGCUUUAUAGGAAAGAGGCUUAGGAACAGAUGAGAAAUGAGAAAAACAACCUAUGCAUUAUUCUGGAAUCUAAGAUAGUCAUAUAUAACAUUGACAAUCAGAAUUUGUUCCAUAGUAAAGUAAUUCUACUACUAAUCUAUACACGGAAGCAUUUUGACCACUGUGACCUUAAUUUGGAAAUAGCAUAUGCCUCCUGUUCUUUUAUAAGUCUUCUCAGUGCUACUCUUAUUUGUGCAGGCUCUUUAGGAGCUAGAAAACCAAUCAGGGUGAAGGAGAAAUCAAAGCCCUGUUGUUACUUUGUUUUGGCUUAACGCUAAAGGCACUGCUAAGCGAGGUCUUUCUUUUGGGUUUAUCUUGCUAGUCUUUCUCAACCAUCUGUUUCAGGGGUAUGGAGGCAUGGCGUUUUUUCCAGUGCUGUAUAAAAGUGGUCUCUAGGAGAGGCUCCAAAUAAUCUACUGGGACAAAUUAUCUUUUUGUGGUGUAUCAUGUACAUUGUAACCUAUGUAUUCACAUAGUACUGCCUCUGUAUGGCUUAUGUACAGGUAUAAAAUGACAGUUCAUCCUCAAGAUGUUCUUAAAAACUACCUUGUAAAAUAAGAAUUAUUCAAAGAGAGGGGAAAAGCCUACCAGAUGGCCUUACUGAUGGUUUUGUGAAUAUAAGUGCACAAUAACUGCAGUUCUCACUUCUCCAGUAGCAAAAUGUAACUCCAGGAACUUGAUGCUCGGGUUUCCUCAUUUGGCAGAUGAGUCCCUUAGCUUCCAUUACUUCUAACUUUACUUAACCAAAAAAUCAUAGCUUGGCAUUAGCAUUAUUGUGAGCUAUAGUAAAUCCAAGCAAUAAUAAAAUAUCCAGUGCAAAUAAAACAGGAAUGUAAAGAAUUUGGAGAGUUUAAAUGACCACCAAAUUCAGAUACACGCAUGCCCAUAUUCAAUAGUGAUGAGGAAAGCUAUUCAAUUGGAUUAAAGAAAGGACAAUUCCAUUGUAGAUUUUUCAGACUAAGCUGUGAUCUCUUAGACUGUUCUAUUUGUUGAGCUCUUUUUGCCAAAUUGUCAACUCUUCGUGACAGCUGAAAUGACAAUCACUGCACGACAUAGCCAUCUACCUAGUGUAUACAAGGAUAUGUCAGAAAUAUUAACCAUGUGGGAGUCAUUUAAAAAGGAAGAAAAUAAGACCAGGAUUAUGUAGCACUUAGAACCUUCCAGAGCAGUAGUUUGAAAAGUAGUUUUGGGCCACAGGGUCUACUUUACCAGCUAACGUAUUGGGUUUAUUAUAUAAAAGGGGCACUAUGUUGCUUUGAUCCCUGAUUCACAAAUGUUACAAUAUUGCUAGCCUCAAAUCUUGCUGUGUGCCUUAUUUUGUUCGUUUAUGACUCUCUGGGCUUUGGUGUGCCCUUUUUGGAUGUGACUCCUUCACUGCUUUCAUCAUUCACUUGAUCUUCUUUGUGUUUAACUGGGAAUUAUAUGUUUGUGGAUCUCUUUCUUCUCAAAAUCCCUUAUGACUAUAGUUUUCCACCCGGUAUUCAUCCUACAGGGUUAGUUUGAAAUCUGAAAGUAAUGUGUGUUUUAUUUUAAAUAUCCUUAAUUGUUGCCUUUAGUUGAUAGACAAGAUUCGGCGUCCUGUGUUCUUUUGAUUUGUGUAGGUCACCUGUCCUAGGGACAGAACAAGAGAAAAAUGUGGUAUAUGUUCUAGUAAAAUGAAUGAUCAUAUUUGCCAUUCUGUAGAAACCUCCAUUGCAUAGACAGUGGGGACAGUGAAUUAUAUUCUACUAUAUCAGCCCCAAGCUAAAUACAUCUUUAUCUUUCUCAUACAGUAAAAGGAUCUAGAGGAAAUGCAAAGUAGUUUGUAUUGUGCAGUGAACUACUCAUUAAAGUCCAUUGACAUCCGUGGAACUCUUGUUUCAGUUAUCACAGCUACUGGGCACAGGAAGUUGGUUAUCAAAGAAAGACAGAACCCCACACUGGUCCAAUAAUUCUCUUAUUAGUCAAGUUUACAAAAAUAUUCUCAGGAGUCCGUUAAAUGUAUUUUUUGGAUAUAUGUAUUGAAAUUCAUGUCCUUCAACUUUCAAAAACUGUGUUAUAAUUUUCUGUACAUAUUUGCAGUAUUUUAACCUCUGAAAAGUUACUGAAACUACUAAGUUGCUUGGAUAAUAGAAGAUCAAACAAAUUAUAGUCAGUUAAUAUGAACAGGUCAUUUUGAAUGAACUUUGGAAUAUAUUUUAUAUAUUAAUUUAGCUUUACAGACAGGAGGAAAAAAUAAAAAUUACAUAGAGCAAACACUUCUUUAAUGUAUGGUUUCCCACUUAAGACCCUGUUGAAAUGCUCAAAUCUUACAACUAGUAUGAAAUGAAAAAAAAGGUCUCAAAUACAUGUUCUCUGUUCUGGAGUCUUUCUGAUGAGAGAAUACAAGUUCAUUUUAUAGGGAUGUCCCUAACUUAUCCUCUUCACAUUAAACUUGGAGGUGUCAUGGUGUGCUGAAAAAAAUUUUGGUUCAGUUUCAGCCUCAGCCAUUUACUCUUUAUGUGUUAAUGGUCUUUCCCAGAUCCUUCAUCUGUAAACCCAGAAAGUGGGUGAACACUCAAAAUGUUAUUUGAAAAGACUAGCAACCAAGUGUAAGUGAAUAGUGUUCAGUUAAGUGCAUGUACGCCACAGUCCAUUUGAUAACAUUAAUGUCUUUUACUCAAAGCAGUAGCAGUAAAGAUGGUUGCACGUGAACUAGUUAAAAAAAUACUGAGAUGAAUAGGACCAUGUUGCUUGAAAGUACAGUGGUGAGUAAAAACUUUUGAAGUUAACCUUAGAAUUCUCAGAGAAUAAAUUUGGAUGAUGAUGCUCUGAUAAUUAUAAUACUUCAUGCUUAUUUAGAGGUUUAUUACUAUACAUCCUAAUUAAAGAUGAAUGGUAUUACCUAAGUUUUCUGAAUGGGUAACUUGAAAUCCCAAAAGGUAUGAUCCUUGCCUAACAUCACAUGGGUCAUAUGUGGGAACAUGGGGAUGUUACUCUACAUAUAUCUAACCUCAAUUCAAAGUUCUCAUCAUGGACUGAAAAAGCUUUCCAAAGUAUGUAGAAGGGGUACAUUUUUGUUAUUACAGCAUAUAGUGAUCAGUGAGGAUGAGGAGGGGUAGAAUACUGACUUUAUCUUCAAGCAUUAAAAAGCGAAUGUCUUCUUUUAUCAAAUAGUAACAUGGGUGUUGCUAGGACUAUGUUUCAGGGAACCUAACUUUAUUUUUGUGAUUGUUUGUCUUAAGCUAACAUUUAAUGCAGCUGCAAUGCAUGACCAUAAAUUAUGUAGAGUCAUUAAGUAAAUAGCAUAAUCCAGCAUUUUUUGUCUACUUAGUGGAAGUCAUUAGAAUACCAUUUCAUUGAUUAAAGGAGAAGUUUACCAAUAUAUUUAAUAAGAGGAGUGAUCUAUUUAUGUCAUGUGCAUGGUAACAGGGCAAAUCAGAGCAUGAAGCACUGCUUGCAGCAGCACUUCAGAUUCUGGCUAAUCACACAACAGUUGCUUUUUAUUAAUUAAAUUUCUGUGGGUUGAUUGUUGAAGGCAUUAUCCUGUCAGAACUCAACUGACAAGAUUCAUGCAAAUGUUCAUACAUAAUAAAUUCCUUUGUCAUUUUAUUCUUGAUUGUGUGGCUUAUAAUUCAGUGAUUUUUCCACCAAAGGAUAAGCAAGUUGUCCUUCCUUUUACUACUAGUUGCUGAAUUCUUUACAGCUCACAUACAUUCAUGAUAAAGAACAUUAUGAGAUCUCAAAAAAAAUAACAACUGUCCGACCCACUGUCAAAUAGAUUCUUAUGAGGUUAUUUAUGGAACCCCAAACUUAAUACAUAAAAAGGAAUAUCAGAUUAGACUCAGAUAAUUUACUUCUAGUGAGAGUUCUGUUAUUAUUAUUAUUACUAUCAUAUAAAAUUUGUAACUUUAACCAAGAUAGUUUAUCCUAGUUUCCCCACAUAUCAAAAAGAGGUUUUAUAACUUGUGGUGUCUUUCAAUCAUAACAUCUUAAGUCCUGCUCGCCUCACUAUGUUUAAUUUAUAAAAUACAUUAAGGUUUUUAAUAACCUGUGCAGAUCAAAGUUGGUUGAUUCAGAAUUUAUCCUUAUGAGAUAUCUGGGAUUUUUUCCCCAAGAAAACAUAUGCUACAUUCCAGCAUAUGACAUAAGGCAUAAAGACUUAUUCCUUAUGUACUAAUAGAUGUUGGGUUCUCCAAGGAGAACUGGACAGUUUUUUUAGCCAUUUGCAUGUGAUUGCAUGAAUUUCCUUUACACAAUCACUGGUUUCCAACUACAGAUAUUGGCAAUGUCUGGAAACAUGUUUGAUUGUCCAAAAUUGGCUUAUACUACUGGUAUCUAAUAACUAUAGGCCAGAACUGCUGUAUUACAUCUUACAAUUCAUAGAGCUGCCCCAUAAGCUCAACAAAUAAGAGUUGUCUUGCCCAAAAUUUCACCAAUACAUUGAGAGAGAGAGAGAGAGAGAGAGAGAGAGAGAGAGAGAGAGAGAGAGAGAGAUUAAACUAAAUAUCUGCUUUAGACAGAAACUAGUCUAGGAGACCUCUUUUAGUUCCAAAUAUUAUAAACUACAUUGUAGAAAAAGAUAAAAUCUCUGUAUUAAGCAUUUUAAAAACACCAUAUAAUACUUAGUUAAUAAUUAGUCUCUAUUUGUAUGGAGAAAAAAUUUUAAGUCAGUGGACUGGUUAAUAAGGCGUGGACUCUUGAAUAGUCAAUCCCAGGUUCACUUUAUCAUCUGAUUGUCAUAUGACCUUGGACAAAUUACUUCUCUUUUAUUGAAUAUUAAUUCUCUCAACUGAAAAACUGUUUCAUACCUUCUUUUCAUUCUUAUAAUACUUAAAAGAAAAUUAAGUGAUUCUUACUAGAAGCUAUUUAAAACUGAUAUGUGCCAAACAUUGGUUUAAUGAUGAUUUUAGUGAAUAGUUUUAUUUUGUUAAAUGACUUACUAAAAACAAUCCUAUGAGUCAAAGUUUUCUUUGCAAAAGUUUUUUAAUUUCUUUAAGGUUUUAUAGCAGAAAAGAAAUAUUGAAAUAUGCUUCUGUUGAAACAAGUGGAAAAUAGGACAAAAGCAACUUUUAAAGAAAUUUUGCCAUUUAAAAUAUAGAAAAAAUUUUUUCAUAUGCUGUAAAAAAGAAAACACUUGCAUAUAUAGGAGAUGGUGCCAAAAUAAUAAAUAGCAUUGGAAAGAAACUAUAAAGAACUAUGCUGAACAAGAGAAGCUCCUAAAGAUAUUAAAGCCACCCACAAAUGAAUCAGAAAGAAACUGCAGCUGAAAGUUGACUACAAAUGUCUUGGAAGCUGAGCUGGGAAUAGUUUUCCACAUGCCCCAUUUCUAAGCAUCCCUUCUUUUCUGCCCUAAAAAGUUCAGAAAGUCUUAGUAGUAUUUAAAAAAAAUGAUCAAGUAUAGAGCAGAGAAUUCAUAGACACCUGAAAGCUAAACUCCUUAGAAAUUAUCAGUUUAAAAUCAUGAAUCUGUUAUUAUUUUUCCAUUUGAGCGGUCUUUUUCCCAAAGGAAUCCUGCCUGAUGAGUAGGAGGGCAUUGUUUGAAAGAACCAUGAAGUACUUCUUAGGUGUUUUUCCCCUUCAGCAAACUGUUGGGAGAUGGAGGAGUAUUCAGCAUGAGGUAUGCUUUUAUUGUAUUUAUUCUGGUCCUUUCAGCACUGUAAUUUAUUUCUGUGCCAAAACAAUAUGAAUUGUUAAAAAAUGUACUUCACCACAAAAUGAAACAAUAGAAUUGGAUCUCUAUUGAAUUAUGUAUACAUCUUAGCUAAAAGAAUAACAUUUUUCUGAAUAAAAAACCCACACCAUUUUGGAAAAGCAAAAAUGCAUACUUAAAGUCUUUCUCAGUACAUUGUAAGGGCUAUGUUCCCAGUUAGACCCAGGGUGGAACGUGUGAAAAAUGUCAGUUUCUCUGAAAGCCCACUACAUUUAUGUAAAAUAGACGGUAGUCAUCAUCUCUUCUUUUUAUUAAGAUUAUUUCUUCUGGAAAAAAGCAUCUGAAUGGAAUCAGUGCCUAAUUUUUAGAAAUAUACAACCAGUGUAUUGUAUAUAAGGACUGUUUUAGAACAAAUAUGGCCCAAUCUUUAGGACUAAGCAAUAGGUAACUUGAGUGAGAGAGCAAUUAAAAUGUUAAAAGUAAAUGACCACUAAAUGAGAACAAAAAUUCCUUCAGCAGUAAUCGUAAGGCAAAGGGAAAGGAAAUUUCUGUUCACUGGGUACCAGCAUGACUGAAGUACUCUUGUGAUGCCUUCACACAGGUUCACAUGGAAUCCUCAGAGAUGCUAAGCUACAGAGAGCUUAAGCCCAUUCAAUUACCAGGUCAAUGAAUUGUCUUCAAAUUCAGGCAUCAAAUAAAGUUUAAUUAUCUUCCCUCUAUAUCAUACUUCUUGCAUUAAUAGCUGUUAUUUUAUGUGUUCUUCCUUAAACAUUUUCCAAACCAUUUUGAAAUUUUUGUUUUUACUUAAGCAUUUCUAAACCACUACUAGAUAAAUUCUUUAGUGGCAGGGAUACUGACUUGAAGAUUUCUGUGCUCAUCACCUAUCCCAUAUUAAUGGAUGGCACAUGAUUGGUGCUUAAUUUAGCUCAGUGGUUCAGCUGCUUGCCUUGCAAGCACAAGGACCUGAGUUCAAUCCCCAGUACCACAAAAAAACAAAAAAACAAAACCACUUUGAAAUCUAUUUAUUAAAUAAAUGCCAGUAUCUAAAUCAUAGGAGAAAGAUUUCUCCCUAUGUUAGUCAAACAAAGGUGGUAGAAUAGCACACCUGUCAAAGUAUUUAGAUAUUCUGAAGAUCAAUGUUACAUAAACGCAUGGUUAUAUUUCCACAGAAGUGACAAGGUUUACAUAAUUGAUAGACUCUAACAAGUGUAAACUGUGUCUAACUUCAGUCUAUUUGAAUGACAGAACCAAAAAAUAUCUUUUGGUUGUGUGUUCAGAAAUAGUUGUCUAGAACAACAGAAGAAAAAUUUAAAAAUGUAUAUUUCAACUUGAAGACAUAUAUUAUUUAUGAUGCUGUGUGCAUUUCUUAAUGUAUAGAGGCAAAAAUAAACUAUGAUUAACAAUUUUAAGACUGCAGUGACAAAAUCCACUUGGCAAAUUGUUCCAAUACCAUGAAGAAUGUAUAAUUAUUUAAGUUUUUGGACUCAUAAUUGAUAAUACUUUCAUUUGUGCUAAAAAGGAAAGGGGCCCAAUGUCUAUUGUUUAUAUGCUUGCCCUCUUCUCCUUAACACUUGAAAAGAAUGACCAUUUAACUUUAUAUCCUUGCAGAUGGAUAAUGAGUUAAUUCAUACAUUAACAUAGUGUGUGUGUGUGUGUGUGUGUGUGACUGAGGAUGCAAAUUAUGACAUAGUCAGAAAAGCAUUAUGCCUGGAAUGGAAGCUCUAGGUUUAACUUCUCUCUUAAAUGUCUCCUGACUUUAAAUUCUGGAUAAGUAAUAUCCUAGUGUUGUGGUUGAUGUGACGCACGCACACACACACACACACACACACACACACACACACACAUAAACUAUUGAUAGUCACUGAGAUCUGACAUCCUAUUAAGUAAUAACAUAUAUCUGUACUAGAUAUAAAAAUAUAAAUGAACACAAUAUAUACAUAUUAAUAUAAUUUUGAGCUCUUGGCAAGUAUAUCAUAGAGUACAACCUAUGUGCCAUUUCCUCCUCUGAUACUGAUGUUCUAUUGAUAUAUUCUAAUAUUUUUGUUUGUGUUUUUUGAGACAAGUACUUGCUAUGAAGUCCAAACUGGCAUCAAAUUCACUAUAUAGUGCUGCAACUACAGUCUUUUUUAAUCAGGGGUUGUCAGAUUUUAAGGAUCUCUUCUCCUGCACAGAACUAUGAUUAACAGAUCAAUCAUUCAUAACAGGGAAUCUCUUGAUGAUAUUCUCUUUCUUUGAAAGUGAACCUAGUUCUUUUUGAGUGUGUCACAGAUUCAUUGCUGUCUUGAGGGCGAACACUCUGCUCCAGUGACAAAUUUUUUAAAAAAUCAUUUGAGUGAAUAAUAAAUAAAAUGACAAUAAAUAUGAGAAGUUUUACUUAUGAUAGUUUGCUUUUUAAUGUACCCAUAGCAAGACAUCUUGAAUUCUUAAAAUAACAUCAUUUUAACUGCACUAUUAGAACUAUAGAAAAUACAGAUUAACAAACAGAAUGCUCAUUAUCCUAACUCAUUUAAAAGCAAAUGUUAAUAUUUUAUUUUAUAUUGUUUAAGAUUAAUUUCUUUGCAUUUGUUCAGAAAUAGGAAACAUUUGAACUUAAAUUACAAAAAGUUAGAACACAUACAGUUGCAUAAAAUAAUAAUUAGGUUGUAUUUUACAUGUAUUUUAUUUUGCUUUUUUACCCAACAGUAACUGUAAGCAUAUGUGUAUGUCAGUACAUUUAAAGGAAUAUCAUAAAUUUUCUGGCCGCAUGUGGCUUUGGGUGCAUGUAAUAGAAUUUAUUUGUUGGAUACUUGGUUUAUUUCUAAUUCAAAUUUUCAAAUUUUGCUAUACUGAAUGCACACACACAAAUAUAUAGCUUUGUGCAAUUAUAGCUUUGUAGGCUUUUCUGAUUAUUUCCUUAGGAUACAGUUUUACAGGCAAAAUUGUGAGAUCCACCAAUAGAUACUCUUAACUUUAAAUGGUUUUAAAUCUAAUUUUAUACUUACAGAAAUUUGAAAAAGUAAUACAGACAACUUCAACUUUCCCCGCACAGUUUUCUCUAAUUAUUAAUGUCAAGCAUAACGAAAGUUCAAUUAUCCACACCAGAAAAUUACACUGAUUUGCUACUAUUAUCUAAACUGCUCUGUAACAGGAUCCUAUGUAGAUUCCAGUGUUGCAUUUGAUUGCUUUUAUUUCUUAAACUCUUCCAAUGUGUGACAAUUCCUCAGUCUUUAUCUUUCAUGACUGUGACACUUUUGAAGAAUACCAGUCCAUUGUUUUGUGGAAAAUUCCUCAGUUUGGAAUUGUCUGUUUUCUUGUGAUUUGAAUAGGGUUAUAUAUUUCUGGCAAGAAUGUGAGAGAAAUCACAUUGUAUCCUUCACAGUGCAUAAUAUCUAGGUCAUGAGCUCAUAUGUCUAUUUACAUGGUAAAGUUGGUACAUGGUUGGUUUUCUCCACAGUAAAGUUGCUACAUUUCCCUAUGUAAUGAGUAGGUAUUAUGGACAAGAUAUUUUGAGACUAUGCAGAUGUCCUUUUCCUCCCCAAUUUUUGCAUCAUUUUGCAUUCAUUUUGCAUCCUCGAGUGAAUCUUCUCUACAAUAGUCAUUACUGUCAUGUCUGACUGAUGAUGAUUUUUCUAUUUUACUUUUUCCCUCAAAGGUGAUUCCACACUUUUUAAAUGAUGUGUUUCUAUUUUUAAUUUUGUAACACUUCUAAAUAUGCAGAAAACAAUAAAAAUACUCAGAUAUCUAUGCUCCCUCACUCCAGUAAAAUAGUUAUGAGUGACAUGUUAACUUUAGAUUUAUUAUUUUGCAUAUCUUUAAAUUUGAUUAUUUUUUCCCUUCUAUUUUCACUUUCCUUUCUUCUCAAGGACUUUGGUAUUUCUCAUCCACAUGGAUUUUUAGUUAUUUUUAGUUAUAUCUGUUCAUGCGUAUGCAAUCAUUAAUGUUGUAAAAUAUCCACUUAAAUAUUCAUCCAAAACAUAUCCAACUCCAAGUAUACUUGCUUUUGGCCAUCUGUAUUAACAUUGUGUCUUUCAGAUUUAUUGAUGUCAAUCCAUAUAUUUUGUUCAUUUUAUUCCAAAACAAUGUCAUAAAUUUGAAGAAAUAGGCUUAAAAUUCAACAUUCAUUCAAUACACUUAUUGAGCAAUUAUGAUGGGGCCAGGAAAUGCUCUAUUCUCUGUGAGCAUCCACUGAAGAUAAGGAUCGACAUUUUAAUAGAAAUAUUGCAGCAUCGCUUGUAAUAGCAAUAAACUGGAAAUGCAUAAAACUUCUUAACUUAGUAAUGUGUUAUAUCUUAUUCAUCCAAUCAUUAAUUCAUUUAUGCAAUCCACAAUAUUCAUCAUACUUUGUAGGCAUAAGGGAUACAAUGUGAUUUCCUUAAGAAACUUACAGUGUAGUAGAAAGAAAUAGACCUGUGUAUAAUAUGAUUGUCUAAAUGCUCUGAUUGGUGUCUUUUAUAGAUUUUCAUGAAUUUAGUGACUUGAUACUGAUCAAAUUUUCAUCAAGGAAAAUAUAACUAAAUUUCAUGGAAAUAAACAAAAUUGUCAGGUCUUUAAUAUUAAAAAGUAGUUUGUUUUGGCUUUCUUAGGGUCAAAACAAAAAACAGAUGCCAGGACAUAUGACGUAAAUGGGAAAUGGCCAUUUACACUAAAAGCUUCAUAAUUGAAAAUGGGUGCAUUUUAGGUUAGUAAAAUAGUAGAGAAGGCCGAUUAAAUGACAUAGAAGCGCAACACAAAAAAAGACCAUAUCUGGAAGAGACUUAUUUUUACAUAGUAUUGUGAGAGUUCUCAAGGAAUAUAAACCACUGGGUGAAAUUAUACUAUGGUAUUCUGAGUGCUCUCAUGAACAAUUCACUUUCUGGUUAAAUCUCACUUAUUUUACCUUUAAUAUGAAAAUAUUAAUAUAUAAUUCAAAGCAAAAUAGCAAGUGUUCAUAUAUAGGAGAUUAUUAUAAAUGGUAAAGUUCUUAUUGUUAUAUUGGCAUACAAUAUUCAAUUUUUUUCCUGUUGACUUUGGGAAGGUUUAACUAGGUUUUUAGUAGAAGAGUAAUAUGAUUACAUUCUAUUUAGAAUUUUCUCUAUUUUAAAAUUUUUCCCUUAUUGGUAUGUCUUUGAUACAUAUAAUUAGGGAUCUAUAUAUAAUUAGGGGUAUAAUUAGGGUAUAAUUAGGGAUAUAUAAUUAGGGGUAUAAUUAGGAUAUAUAUAUAUAUUUGAACCCCCCAAAUCCCUAUCCUAUCUUCACUUUCCUUACUCUUGUCCCCUUCUCCAUCUUCAAAAAGUCUACCUCACCAUCCCCUUCCAUCUCCUCUAUUUUGCUCUUUUGGUUUUUCAAAUAAAACCUAUGAUAUUUAAUCUUCUGUGCCUGACAUUUCACUUAACAUCAUGCUCUCAAGAUAUGUCCCUUUUCUUAACAAUGACUCAAAUUCACCCUUCUUUGUAGCUGAGAAAUAUCCAUUAUGCAUAAAUACUUCACUGUUUCUUUAUCCAUUUAUCUGUUGAUGGACUUCUAGGUUUCUAUAGUUUAAUUAUUAUGAAUUGCACUGUGAUAAACAUGGAUAUGCAAGUAUCACUAUAGUAUUAUGGCGUUAGCUCUUUUGGGAAGAUACACAGGAGAAGUAUAAUUGGGUCAAAUAGAAUUCACAUUUUCAGUUUUUUUGGUUUUUGUUUUUUGUACCGGGAUCAAACUCAUUUGUACCGGGAUCAAACUCAGGACCUUGACUUUUCAAGGCAGGCUGUGGCACCACUGAGCUAAAUCCCCAGCCCAAGAAGAGAAACUUGAAAUUGAUGACUUUUUUUUUUUUUUCUGUAACCAAGGAUUGAAGUCACGACCUUGAGCUUACAAGGCAGGAGGCAGAACCACUAAGUAAAUCCCUGGCCCCACAUUUUCAGUUUUUUGAAGAAUUUCCUAAUUGAUUUCCUUAGAGGUUGUACCAGAAUACAUUCUCACAAACAAUGUAGAGAGUUCCUUGCCUCUACAUUUUCACCAGAAUUUUUGUUUUUUGUUCUCUUGUUGAUAGCCAUUUUUACUGAGUAAGUUGGAAUCUCAGAGUUGUUUUGAUUUGAAUUUCUCUGAUGGCUAAGUAAGAUGGACAUUUUUUAAGUAUAUAAUUAUUAGCCAUUUGUGAAGUGUCUGUUCAUUUCUUUUGCCCAUUUUUUGAUUGGAUCAUUUGUUUUGAGGGGGUCUAAUAAUUUUGAGUUCUUCAAAUUUUAGAUAUUAGUAAUUUCUCAGAAGAAUAGCUGGAAAUUUUUUUCUCAUUCUGUAAGUCAUUUCUUCACCAAUGCUCAGUUCCUUUGCUGUGCAAAAGCUUUUAAAAUUAAUAUAAUCCCAUUUGUUGGUAUUUUGUAUCAUUUCUUUCAUAUUGGAGUUCUAUGCUAGAACUCCUUGCCUGUACCUGUGACUUUAAGUUUUCUGUAUUUUGCCUUCCACUAGUUUCAGAGUUUCUGUUUUUGUAUCAAGAUCUUUGGUCCAUUUUGAUUUGAUCUUACUACAGGGUGAGAGACAUGGGUAUAGAUUCAUUCUUUCACAUGUUGAUAACCAGAUUUUCCAACACAUUUUGUUAAAGAGACUCUUUUCUCCAGUACAGGGUUUUAUGUUCUUUGUUAAAGAUCAGAUAGCUAAAGGACACAGGGCUGUUUCUGUGUCUUCUAUUCCAUUUUACUGGGCUAUGUGUCUGUUUUUUGUGCCAGUAUCAUGCUUUUUCAAUAAUAUUGCUUCAUAAAGAAGUAAUGCUAGUUCUCCCCAGACUCUUUGAUUCAGUUUAAAGGAAAGAACACUACAAAAUUAAUUCCAUCAACACAGCCAUAUCCUGAUACCAAAACUCUAAAAGGACUCAGCACAAAAAGAAAACUACAUGCCAAUACUGUUGGUGAGCAUAGAUGCAAAAGUUCUCAACAAGAUACUUGAAAACUGGCUGCAGCAAAUAAUUCAAAAGACCAUAUAUCAUUCUUAAGUUGGGUUUAUCCCUGAGAUACAAAGACUGUACAACAUAUGUGAGUCAACAAAUGUAAUACACCGCAUCAAUAAAACUAGGGACAAAAAUCACAUAAUCAUCUCUAUAGAUUUGGAAAAAGCCUUUGUCAAAAUCCAGCAUCUACUCAUAGUAAAAUCCCUAGUAAAAUAGACAUAAAAGAAUCUUUCCUCAAAAGAUGAAAGCUAUUAUGACAAACCCACUGCCAACAACAAACUAAAUAGGAAAAAACUGAAAACAUUCUGUCUAAAGUCAGGAAUGAGACAAAAGUGUUGACUCUCAAAACCACUCAAAAUUAAAUGAGGUCAAUGACCCAAGAAAAAGAAAUAAAUGGGAUAUGAAUAAGAAAGGAAGAAGUCAAGCUGUCUUUAUCUGUAGAUGAUAUGAUCUAAAAAAACUCUAUCAGAAGACAUUUAGAGCUAAUAAUCAAAUUCAUCAAGUGGCAGGAUAAAAAAUAACCACACCAAAAUCAAUACCAGUCCUCUACACAAAUAGUAAACCCACUGUGCCAGAAAUUAGAAAACAAUUCCCUUCACAGUAGCUUCAAAAAAUUAAAUACCUAAGAAUCUAAACAAGAAGGUGAAAGACCUCUGUAAUGGAAAGUAUUGUACUCUGAGGAAUGAGACUGAAGAGGACAUUACAAAAUGGAAAGACAUUUCCUGGUCCUGUAUAGGCAGAACCGAUAUUACCAAAAUGGGCAUAUCAACACAAAGAAUAGAUAAAUUUAAUGCAAUUCUUAUCAAAAUAGGAAUAGCAUUCUGCACAAAACUAAAAAUAACAAUCCUGAAAUCUAUGUGAAAUCCAAAAGGCCCAGAAUAGCCAAAAUAAUACCGCGUAAAAACAGCAAAGGGGCAGACAUAACCAUCCUGGAUUGCAAAUUUCACGUUCUUCACUUAAAGCAGAGGAAGGUGUGGCAAUCUGAGGGAUGACAUGAAGAGACUUAAGCGACGCUAGGUCUUCGGAAGGAAUUUCAUUUGUUAGGUGCGUACGGGAGCACGUAGUACUGUGUGCUAGCUUUCUAGGGUUGCUGUAAAAAAAAAAAAAAAAAAAAGUACCUCAAGGUAGGUGGCUCAGGACAACAAAAAUUUACUGCCACACAAUUCUGGAGUCCAAAAGUCUGUAAUCAAGAUGAAGCCAGGACUGCGGUCCCUGGGAAGGCCUUGGGAAAGGCGCUUCUAGCUACUGGUAGAUGCGUGGCUCGUGGCAGCAUAACUCCGCCUUUCCCACAGUGUCUGACCAUGUGUGUGAUUGUCCUUUCAGACGGCUGUAUUUUUUUUUAAAUAAGGAGGCCAGUAAUAUUGCAUUAGGAGCCCAACAUUACUCCCAAUAUGAUCUCAUCUUAAAGUAUCUAAUUAUAUCUGUGACAAACCUAUUAUAGAAUCAGGUCACAUUGUGAGGUACCUGGAAUUAAGACUUCAACAUACAAAUUUUCAGGUACACAAUUUAACCCGUAAAAUUGUUCUUUCUGACUUUAGUGAUAAGUGUUCCCUUCUAAGUGUACCCCGACACUGUAGCUCUUCACAUUAAAGAUGAAAAUUUUUAACCACGUUUGGUUAUAACAUGUUUUGUAAUAAGACUAAGUCUGCCCAUUGGUGUUAAUUAAACACAUGCCAUUCAAGUGCUAGGCUAGCGUGAGAUAGUAUAUGUAACUUCCAGGGACUGAUGUGUACAUUCUUAAAUAAGGCAGGGCACAAUUGUCAGUUGAUGAACGGUAUUGAAAAGCAAGAUAUAAAAUAUGUUUUAUAGCGUAAUUAAAACUAUGUAACUAAUAUACAUGUAUAUGAUUGUCUGAAAUUUAAUAAAUAAAAUAGUAUUGGUUUUAUAAUGGUAAUAAUGAUAAUGAAUUGUUUUCAAAAUUGUCUUUCAGAUUUUUACCCUACAAAAGAAUAAAUCAGAUAAAUGCAAAGCAUUAACUGAUUUAUUAAAUUAGUUGAACACGUUGAGCCAGGUGGAGUGGUACGUGCCUAUAAUCCUGGUUAACAAGGAAGUAAUAUAUAGGCUGUUGCAGGAGGAUAAUGCAUGCAAGACAAGCCUGGGCAACUUAGAAAGACCCUGACUCAAAAUGAAACAGGAGCUGAGGUUGUACUUCUGUGGUAAAGUGCUUGUGGGUUCAAAAAUAAAUAAAGUACUAUGCAGUGGGGCACUGACCUUGAAAGACCCAGAUUCUAGUGUGUACUGAAAACUAGAGAGAGAGAUUUUGGUGUGUCCUGAAGAGAGAGAGAGACAGAGAGAGAGAGAGAGAAAGAAAUAUCUCAUGUCAAACCUUUUUAAAGAAAAUUUAAAAGGCUGGAGCUAUAGCUCAGUAGAAGAAAGCUCACAACGUGAAACCCUGGGUUCAAUUUCCCUUACCUGAAAUACAAAAAUAAAUAUAAACAGUAAUCUCUGAGUCCCAGAUUUUGGUUUCUAUGCAGUUUGAAAGCUAAGAUCAUAAUUCUGAACACAUAGAGCUUUAUACGUAGUGUCUUCAAAUGAUUAUUACUAUUACUUCUCAAAUUGACAUGAAAAGUGGAUAGAACAUAGUUCAUACUGUAACUUAGUGUAAGGAUGAAAACGUGGUCUGUUUCUCAUUCACUCACAGCAAAAUUUGAAGCAUUAUUGUAGGAUGUUUUGUUGGAAAAAUGAUUUUGAACUCAAAAACGCAGUGCUUUUUCAUACUGUGAAAUGAGAAAUAGAUGUGAGUCAUUUGUUAAUUAUGAGUUAUUAGUACUUUUUCAAAAAUUGUGUAAGUUAGCUCUAUUUAAAAAUUUUAAAAAUGGACAAAAUUUAUGAAGUUAUUUUUGGACUAAAAUGUCAUUACUGAAGGUGUACUUUUUCAUAUUCUGAACUAAUAAAUAGUUCAGAAAGUCCUUUGGAAAUUUAUCAAAAUGUCAUCUUCAGGUACUGGGUUGGAAAAUUAGUAACCACUGGAGUGUGUGGCUAUUGAAAGUUGUCACUAUUUUCAGGAGCCUAUCAGCUUUUAGCUUCUGGUAUAAAGCAAAGAUUUUAAUCAUUGGUGUUAAAAUUUAAAAUGUCAAAAGUUCUUAGAAUAAAAAUAAAGGCUAAAUUUAAGCAUCUGUUAUAUUGUUACUCCAGAUGUACAUAAAGGAAACACAAUACUCAAAAAGUGCUUAUAAUGAAUUCAAAUAAAUUACAAGAAUGAUACAGAUAUGAGAUAACUUUAUUCAGUACAAUGGUGGCUUAAUUUUAUUCUUAUAAAAUGAUAUUAAAUGAUACUUUGAUAGUAUACUGUGUACACAUGUGCUAUUCAAUCUUAAAUAUAAGGAUGGCCAUUAAUAUAUUUGACUAGAUAUAAUUUUGGGUCCCUGACAAAAUUUCUGGCAAUUGAAAAUAGUAGCAUAAAACUUCUAGUAAAAGUAUACAGAAAUUGGAUGAAUUUUUGCCUUCACGUGGUUAUUCAGGUUGGAAGAAAGAUUUAGAAACAAACAACAACCAAAACUCCGUGCUUUACUAUACUCGUAACAAGGUUCCUACCAAUUUACAUUUGGCAUUUUGCUCAAUUUCCCAACAUGCUCAUUUAUACUUUUUCUUUUUCUCCUUCAUGAUGCAGAUAAGACAGGAAAUCUCAUUGGAUGGGUAUGGAAACCAAGGCUCUAAUAUUUUAAGUAUCUGACCACAGGGGAAACAUUGCUUCCUGCCUUGAAAGGGUGACAUUAUAAUGUGGGUCUUUCCAGGUUAGUGCUGCACUGUGCAGCAUUGCAGUUAAAGUAACAUUUUAAUGCACAAUAAGGACUUACUGCUCUUCUUGGUGUUCAAACACGAUAGGAAUAGUUUAGCUGCAGUCAUGAAGUUAUACCAGUUUUUGAAGUUUUAGCAGAGCAAUGCUGGAGAUAUGCUGACUUCACUGCAAAAAUAUACUGACAUUUUUCAAAUGUUACCAUGUAUAAGUAUGAGAUAGCAGAUAAUGGCUAUAUGGUAGCAGACUGCAAAUGUAUACCCCAAAAUGAGGAAAGGGACCAAGAGAAGGGUCAAGGGGAGAGGAUGGGGAGGGAAAAGGGAUGAAAAGGAAGGAUGAAAAUGUGUUCAGUAUAUGUUCUAACUCCAUACAAGGAAUGUAAACUGCGCACAUGUUCUAAUAAACUAAAUUAAAUAAAAAAUAAAUGCAUUAAAGUUUCUAAAAGCCAAGCCUUAAUAUUUUAAGGAUCUGUAUAAGUUCAGUGUUCAUAGCAGGACCUAUUCUGAUACCUAAUGAUGUAGAAAUCCUUGAAUAAUAGAAGAUAAAAUGCUUACUGCAUUCUCAGUGGCUUUGGACAAGUUAUUAAACCUCUGAGAAACUCUGUCAUUUCCUCAGUACAAUGGCGAUGCCGAUAACACCUAUUGGAUAGUGUUGACAUAAGAAUGAAAUGGAAGAGACACAUAAUCCUGACACAUGCGAGAAAACUGUCUUCGCUCUGUCUCCUCUUUGCACUAUGUAAGACACUUUAUUAUUUCAGCUUAGCUUACCUCAAUCAAGCCUUGUUACUAUUUAGCUCAUUGCCAUAUUUCUAGCCGUUUAUAUUUUUAUCUUUCAUUUGAAAUGCCUAUUGCAAUGUAUCUCUUUUGACUUUGUUAUUUUGUUUCGCACUCUGAGAGGUCAAUGUCACUUUAUAACAAUGUAAGAGAUCAUGUAUUACUUAUGAUUUAGGGGGCAUUCUAGCUGGCAGACAUUUAGGAGCUACUCUGAGUUUUCCUAGUUUAAGCUUUCUUGAUAAACAAUUGAUCUCUCAGAAUAAAGGGAUUUGGAAUGACUGAGUUGUAUUUUUAAGAACUGUAAGCAUAUGACAUGAAAGGUAGUUUGUGAUAAAAGAUGGGUUUUUAAAAAAUACUGAAUGGAAACUUUAGGAAAUUAUUUGGUAGAUUUAUGUUAUCACCAUCAGAUUUUUCUCCCUGAUGGAUAAUCUGGGAUAACUAUACAUGAUCCUAGUGGCAUUGUCUUGUUGCUAUAAAAUGUACCUUUGUAUAAAAUAGUAAAAUACUAAAAUAGUUGGGGCAUCACUUUAGCAAUAAGUAGGUACCAGUACUGGUUAAUGCCAGCUGUAACUCCUAAUAUAUAAAUGAUAUGGUCAUGUCGUGCACACAGAGGAAGUUGAUACCUUUGAUUUGCUGCGGUGGGUUACUGUACAUUUUUUCCCCAAGCAGUAUCAGGAAAUUAAGGCCUAAUUAAGAGAUAAGAUAUUAAAAGAUAACCUGAUUUACUAUUUUGAAAUACUGGUCUAAUGUAUAAAUGUGCUUCUGUUGACUAAGAUUUUUUGUAGUGAUAAUAAAAAUGUAAAUUAUGCAGACAUGAAUACAAGAACCAAACGUGGUGCUAAGGAUCUUAUCUACAACAUUUCAUUUAGUUCAUGUGAGCUCAGAGGUUUUAUCCUAUUUUGCACUUGAGGAAGGUAGGGAAUGGAGAGGGUUAUUAUCUUGUUAAUGUGAUAAAUUAGUUUAACAUCAGGAUUGUAUCUCACUCUUUUUUAAAGACAUGAGGCUUGUUUUCCUUUAAUUAUAUAAUCAUCUAAUAAUCAUCAGCAUCUGAAAUCCUGAAAAAUAUACAAAAUUAUAAAUGUCUUUUGGUAGAUUUCUAUAUUUUGGUAGAAAAUAUAAUAACAAAUAGUCUGAAGCCAAAAGGUUUUGUCUGAAAUUUAGCCAUUUCAUAUUUGCAUUAUUAAAUAUUGUAUCAAGAAUAAUUAUUGAACCCUUAUUGUAUAUUGAGCCCUACACAUUCACUUUAUCACCCCAAUUUUUUAUAUGAGGAGACUGAGGCUAAGGGAUUUAAAAUAAUUUGUUCAAAGGAAAAGCUGGUAAUUAAGCCAAUGUCUGGAGGAGUUCAACGUCUGCCCUUAAUCGCUAUGUCUUGAAAGCCCUGUAGAAAAAGAGACUUGUAUGAAAAAAAAGAAUUGUAAUAAAUUUUGAAAAUGUUAUUCAAAGCUAUGGGAAAACUAUUAAAGAAAUAGAAAUUAUUCUUUCUUAAACGAAUGGAUGAUUCUUUGUAGAAGAAACCAUUACUGAGGAGUUAAUUAAGACUAGUAUAUUAAGGAUUGAAACUUAUUAAUCAUUAUAGUAGUUUUUAAAAUUUCUAGAAGGAUGCCUUUUUCGAAUGCACUUUUUAUUCAAUUUGGGAUGAUAAAAUUUAGACUUAGGAUGACACAUAGGUUCAUAAACUUGUAGGAGAUUAGACUGGUUUUCUGGCUCCCAGAAAUCUUUAACAGUAGUAACAAGGACUUAAGAUUUAUUUUUAUGUAUAUAAACAUUUUAAUGUUUUCCACAGUUUGUAUGAUUGGAUUACUCAAAUCAAUCUAUUUUCUUUGUAUUUUACAUGAAUGAUAUUAACAAUUGUGGUAACAUUAUUAUUCUUAUGUUGACCAAAAAUUUUAUUGACAGCCAUAAAUAUAUCUUAGUUCAUAAGAUAUAUUUACUAUUAGUAAGUGGUGUCUGUUAAUCUUUAAGAAUAGAAAGUUCUACAUUUAGUAUAAAGGAAAGAAGAUGUUAUUAAAGGGGAGAAAUCCUUGUUGAUUAGGGGUUUGAGAAUAAGUGUAUUGAUGUAUAUGUGAAUCUUUUAAAAUAUUUUUAUCCUGACAUGAGUGAAUAUCAAUCAAAUCUUCUUUUUUCUUUUUGGAGUUCAAAGUUAUUGAUUUUCAAAAUGCCAGUAUGCCAGACUCAUUUAAUUGUAUAUAAAGCUUACAAUUGACCAGGAAGCUAAGUCUUUAGAGCUGACAAUUUUAAUUUAUCCAGGAGUUUUCAGGUAGCUCACAUAAGCUGAACAAUUUAUUAGAACUAAUAAACAAGAAAAACUCUAAGGUCUUAUAUAGAAAUAUUCAUCUGAUUAAGAAACCAUAAGUAAACAAGGAAAAAUAGUUCCAAGUAAGUAGACUGUCAUGAUGUCCAAAAAUUCUAAAAAUUCUUUUAUUCUGAGUGGCUAAUAAUUCUGUACUAACUACCAACUAAUGGAUACCAAAUAUAUUAGAUACAUAUUUUGCAAAUAAUCAAAUUUAAUGUUUCCCAAAACAUUACAUAUCUUAAGGUUGAACCUACACUUUCCUGACACAGAAGUCCAUGAUUACUUCUGUUGUUACUUUUAAAUUCAGUGUACUAAAAGUUAUAGUGAAGGUAUCAUGGUUCAGUACUCAGCAAUAAAAAAAUGAAUUAUUGAUACAAGCAGCAAUUUGGAUGAAUCUCAAGAGAAUUAUGCUAAGUGAAAAGCUAAUCUCAAAAAAUUACAUACUGUUUGAUUCCAUUUAUAUAACAUUCUUGAAAUGACAAAAUUAGAGAAAUGAAAACAUUAAUGGUGAUGAAGGAGAGUGGGGUGGGCAGAAGAGCAGUGGAUGUGGCUAUAUAAGAAGAACAUUAGAUGUAAAUGCUUUGCAUUUGCCACAGGUAAUGCAUGCAGACAUGAACUUACACUUGUGAUAAAAGUGCCUAGAACUGCACACACACACACACACACACACACACACACACACAGUGUACAAAGUAAACGGGGUAAUUUGAAUAAGAUUAGUGGAUUAUAUUUUUGUCAAUAUCCUGAUAUUAUACUAUAAUUUUGCAAGAUGUUACUAUUUGAGGAAACUAGCUAAAGAGUACCAAACAUCUCUAUGUAAUAUUUCAUACAGCUACAUAUGAAUAUGCAAACAUCUCAAAAUAAAAAGUUUAAUGAUACUUGGAAGCAAAAGAAGAUUUUAAAGGUAGACCUUCAGUGUGCUUUUGGCCUGUUGAUCUCCCUUUUUUAACAGCCAGACAGCUGAGAUAGUGAUGCUUUUGACAGAUGGAAGAAUUCAAAUCACGCCAGCAGCCAGAGUAACAGGGAUGGAGUUUAGCAAGCACUAACUAGAAGUGAGAGAGGAGGACCAAAGACCUACUUUGUUCUAAAAUGGUGCAAAUCCCAAUUGAAGAAUUUUGGCCAAUCCACCCUUCUUAGAUCCUGACAGUGUUCAUUCAACUCCCAAUAAUUGCCAACAUAUAAGGAAUACUUGCUGGAUUUUCCAGAUAAUAAGGUUUUUUGUGAUUAAUGAAAUAAAUAUAUUGAAUGAAUAACUGAUUUUAAGUGCAUGUCUUACAGUAAUCUGCAUAUAAAUUCACAACUUGAGCAAUAUAUUGGAAUAAAAUAAGAUUUUUAUUGUGAGCAAGUAGUUACUAUAGACUGGCAGUAUUAUGUAAAUAGCUAUUUUAAAUUUACAAAUGUCUAAAUUUCAACUAUAUAUCUCAAUAUACCCCAAAAGACAAUUGUGAUAUUUUCUUAUAAUUUUUUGUUUGUAUGGUUCUCUCUUGUGUACACAGAGUCCUAGGAUUGAUGAACAAUUUUUCUUAACUUGUUUGUGUCCUUUCAUCCUUUGACACCAUCGCUUAACUGUGGUCUUCAUUGUCUAGCAAAAUUUUGCAAAUAGUAGGUGCUUAAUGUUUGCUGAAUUAAUUUUACAGUGAAUGGUGGGAGAAAAUCUGGUGACAGGAUCUGUGUAAAUUUCCAGAGCAUAUUAAAUUUUCAGGAAAGCAGAAUACACUUAAAAGUGAAAGAUCCUUGUCCUCAUUGAAAAUAAAGACAUAAGAGCUUGGGAUCCAGAGAAAGAUAAUUUGCGUACCCAUCCAACAGGUGCUUUGUCGAGGACUAGAGGAGAUAGAGCAGCAACUGUAGAGUGAAAGGAGCUAUCACCUGGCCAGAAGGUAACCUGGAGAUCAAGAUUCACACCUGGGAUGUAAAUUAGGAACAGAUUUCAUGGAAUGCUCGUUUCUUAUUAGAUACAAAUAUAGUGCAAUCUUGUCUCUACUUGCAGCUAGAUGUUAGAAUAUCUUUCUGUCAGUCAAUCCAGUCCAUGUACAAAGUAUAAAUCUUUCUCUCAUAUAAUUUCAUACAUUUCAUUUUUACAUCUUUAAUUUGUUUUUAUUGCUUGGUUUUCAUUUGCCUUAAUUUACUAAUAAACUUGACAAUUAAAACCUGCAAGUGUAUGUAAAUUAUUGAGGAACUAAUUAUGAUUUCUUUAGCUUUUUUAUUUUUAACACAGAGUUUUUACACAGAGGAAUAGAAAUGUUUGCUCCCCAAAGACCACAACAUAGAUCUGCUGUCAUAAUCAUUAUAUAAGCUUAUGUAUUAUAAACAUGAAUAUAUAUAUAUACAUAUAUAUAUAUAUAUAUAUAUGUUGUGUUUUACUUUGUGUUUUUGAGACUGAGUCUUGCUAUAUAGUUCAGACUGGCCUUGAACUCACUUUGUAGCCCAGGCUGGCCACAAACUUGCAGUGAUCCUCCUGUCUCCACCUCUGAAGUGCUGGGAUUACAGGCAUGCACCACCACACCUGGAUAAAAAUAUUUUAAACAUACAAACAUACAGUGAGACAGAGAAAUGAAGAGAAAGAGUCAGAGACAGAGAAGGAGAUAGAGAGACAGAGAGAUUUGGCUCCGUGGGAGAAAGCAACUAACACAACUACACUGUCUACAAUAAAAUAGACACUACAGUAUAUGUUCUGGAGUCCCAUACUUUCUAUAAUAAUCCUCUCUGAAUUUUGUAUUAGGUAGAUACACCAAUUAAACCUUGAAAUACUGAGUAAAUUACAGAAAGUGCUUUUUAGAAAUAACUAGAGAUGGGAAAAUAUUUGAUGACUGACAGCACAGUCCGAUUCAUUCUGCAACACCAAGUAACAAUUUUCAGAUAAAAAAGACCUAGUGUUUUUAUACAAUUUAAAUUUCCAUUAUCUACUGUCUCUGGUACAAUUUCCUUUCUUCCUGUGCAGGUGUGUAUGGAGGAUUGUGUAUGUGUAAUUUCUUUAGUUGGUCCUUGUCUUAUUGUAUAUAGAAGCACUUAUGGUAUGAGGUGUUGAAAUGGUUUCUGAAUUGAAAUACAAUCCAUCGCAUUGACCUGAGUGCCAUAGGCCUUUAAUGUGACAAGGGCAGCAUAUUUUCACAUGGUGUGUGACAUCGUAUUUCAAAAACCAUAUAUUAAAUGCUUUUUGUGUAUUAGAACUUUUUCUAUGGACUGAAAAAAUGAUAACUUGGGCCCUGUUCUAAAGAAAUGCACAGAUUGGUUAGAGGGAUAUACAAGAAAUGGUUACCACAAAGGAAGCCAUCAUAUGCAGCAAUAGAGGUGAAAGAACAGACCCUUAAUUCUACAAAGAAAUUCUACCUACUUCUUUUGAUACCACAGGGAAAUUAGGGCAGACUUCACAAAGGAGUUGAUUCUUGACCUACAUAUAGACAUAGGAGCAGGAUAUAGAAUAGAUUUCAUUCCAAAUGGAAAAACCCACAUCAUAGUGGUUGCCCGAGUACUCCAAUUGUUCACUGUGAAGUUGAGGAAGUCACAAAAGUUGAGGGUUAGAGAGGUAUAUUAGAGUCAGAUUUCUUUUGGAAGUUGGUUCUUGGGAUCAAACCCAGGUCCUUGCACAUGGUAGGCCAGGGCUGUACCACUAGGUUACUCCCCCAACCCUGGAGUCAUAUUUUUAAAAGACUUUGUACAUUAGCUAAGGAAUUAAACUCUAUUAUCUUGGUAAAGAUAUGCCUUCAUAUGACAUUUUUUUUUCUGUUGGAAGAGUCAUGUGAUUACAUAUAAGUUACACAAUGAUCCUUUGGAAAAUAUGGCAAAUAAAUUUGUAAAAACUGAAUGAAAACUGAUCAGGAACCCAGGGACUGGAUUGUAGCUGAGAAAUAUUAGGGGAUUCAACUAAGGCAGAGACAGUAGGAACUUAAUAGGGUCAUAGCCAGGCAUGGUGGCCAACACCUGUAAUUUUAGAUCUCUGGCAUGAUGAGGCAGAAACACUACACGUUUGAGCCUAGCUUGGGCAACUUAAUGAGCUAGGACUGGGAAUGUGGCUCAAUGUAAAGGACCUAGGUUCAGUCCCCAGGACCACAAAAAAAAUGAAGGAUGGAGGAAGAACAGGAGGGGAAGGAGGAAGGGAGGGAAAAGGAGGAAAAGGAGAAAAAGAAGGAGAAAAGAGAAGCAGAUUUCAGAGAUUUUUAAGAAAAAGUAUUGCUUUGCCACUUGUUGCAAUUAAAGAAUCUGUAAUAACUGGAUGAUUUCGUUAACUGGAAGGGAUUGUAUACUAAAAUGGCAAGGUUAAAUUGAGAAAUUAAAUGAACUUUGUUUUGGCAUGUUGUUGGAUUUGAAGAAGUCUUGGAAACCACCCACUGGUAGUAAGCCAGGCUGUCAGUACAGAAAUUUCCAUUCCACUGUGUUGUGCAGCUGAGAGUUUUAAAAAUGAGCAGAAAGAUUUUUAAUCUAAAGUUGAUGAAAGACCAUUAGAAGAGCUAAGGUUUUUUUGAUAAAAGGAAAAUGUAGCUGAUUAACCAGGGUGAAAUAAAAAAGAGAAUGAUACAGGGUGGAGUUGCAGAAGGCUUAGCUAGCAUGCAUAUUGCCCAGAGUAAGUCUCCAGCACAGAAAGAAAAAAGAUAGGAAGAAACUGAUAGAUUGGCACAAAAGAACAUAAAUACCCACCUGAUGAUAUUGGAAGCUCUGGAAUAUCAAAAAAGAGUAAGAGGAUAAAGGAGUUGAUGAGAGUAUAAAGUUUACACAAGCAGAAUGAAUUCUGUGUCAUAUGGUAUUACAUAGAUUAGAGAUAUAUGACUGGGUUGCUGAAAUGAAUUGAGGAUAAAUAUAUUUUAGGAAAGAUUAAAAAAAUCAAAAAGGUAGAAAAAUGCAUAGGCUUUUUUCAUGCACUAUAAUCAUUCCAUAUUACUGCAUGAGUGAGUUGAGGAGGGAGGCUGAAAACCAAGAACUAUUUUUCUCUAUGAGUGUAGAAGGUCUUGGAAGACAGUGGAAGAAAUGAGUGCGGGAGGCGUACAAGAACAGAGGGCAGUAUAAUUAAUUAUAUUCUUUUAGAGAGAGAAUAUUUUUCAAGAAUGAACUAGUUGUAUUCUUCAAGAUGAGUCAGAAGCCAGAAAAGUGCCCUGGAUAGUCACUACAUGAUAGCAAUUAUUGUACCAUGACAACUCACCAGUACAUGUACAUGACCAGUCACCAUAUUCAGAUGGAUAAGACAUGGCAUUCUGCUCUACCUCUGCCAUUUUACGAUGGUUUAUAAUAGAGGUCCUUUGGAAAGCAUCUGCUGAGGAAAUAGGUAUGACUGAGAGAAUUAAUCAGGGCUUGUCAUACAAAAGUGAACAAAUUGGGGCCGGCUGUUAAGCUCUGUGGUUCUGCCGCCUGCCCCUCAAGCGCAAGGACCCGAGUUCGAUUCCCGGUACCAAAAACAAAAUAAAAAGCAAACGAAAGUGAACAAAUAGUUGAAAGGCAUAUGAGAUUUUGGCUGGGGAAAAAAGUGAAGAAAGAGUAAGAGGAAAUAUUUCUGAACAGUGAAUAUUUUGAUUCCACUGUGAACAGAGAUGAAGAUGGAAAGGCUUCACUCUUAGGAAAAAUGAGCUUUUGAAAGAGUUCAUUGUUAUGUUGUUUGCUCACCCUGUCUUCCUUCCUUCCUUCCUUCCUUCCCUGCUCUCUCUCUCUCUCUCAUUAAUUAAACUUAGAGUUUCAUUCAUGCUAAGCAGAUGCUUUACCACUGAACUACAUUACCAGCCAGUUUGUUUAUUCCUUUGUUUUAUUAGCAGGGGCACUGUGUUAUAGUAAGUUCCCAACUUAUGAACCAGUUCUGUUCCAGGAGAAUAUUUGUAAAUUGGAUUUCUUCCUAAGUCCAACAAAGUGAGUCUUAUACACCUUUGACACAAAUAUACAAAGCAUAUUGCUGUGCACAUCUAGCAGUCCCCUCCACAUCACCACUGCUUCUCCUCUUGCUUCCGGACAUCCUGGGCUCUGACUGAGCACCUGUACUACUGUACUCUAUCACACUGCAGUAAACACACAGCAGCACAACUAUGAGGGUCCAGCAGACAUGUGAGCUACUUCCACGAUUUGUUCGCAUCUAUGAAUGUUCAUAAAGAAUAUUCAUAAUCUACUGGUAUGUGUGAAAGUUUGCAACUUGAAUAUUUAUAAGGUGAGACUUACCAGUGGCAAAGACCACAGGGCAGGAGACGAUUUAGUUAGAACUUAGGAUGAACUAAAAAGCGAUGAUGAAUUUUUGUUAAGUGAUGUUAGUAUACUUCAACUUGGUUAGGAAUUUUACUUCUGCAUUGUCUUGAUAAAGUAAUUUAUAUAAAGGAAAAAGUAUUAAUUUGAAAAAGGAUAUAUUAUUUUAGAGAUGAUAAAUAUAUUUUCAGUGUUAUAAACUAUACUCUCACAGCUCUAGAAAAUCCUAAAGUAAAAGCAAACAUUAAAAAGUAAU
ensembl:lncRNA